UGUGGUAUUGAAUAACUGAGAUAAUCUGAAAUGAUUGCAAUGGCCGGUUUCUCUCAAUGAAUGCGGAGAGUCAGGAUAGUUGAAAGAAUUAAGGACAAAGUUUACCUUUAUUUUGGAAAGUAUUGAACGCCUGACCCCUCUCUCUCUUCCUCACUUCUUCAACUGUUGAUGUUUUGAAUGAACUUGAAUGGCUGGAACAGUUUAAACAAUCGUUGUUUCCCUCAAUCAAUGCAGGCAGAGUUAUGGAGAAGAUGGAGGAAUUGUAGUCAAAGCUUACCUUGAAGUGGCAGAGCAUUGGAUUGAAGUCUCUGCUCUCCCAAAGUUUCUAAGUGUAGAAGAGAGG
rnacentral:lncRNA from 1 species